rnacentral:ncRNA from 1 species
GCCGGGAGGUGGGUGAAUGCAAGACCCGUAUGGGAAAUAGCCCAGCCGACUACGUGCGGUAUCUGACCUCCCGGCACCCGGCC